ensembl:ncRNA B0350.81 ncRNA
ACUGAAUGACCUAGCAACUGUCACCAAGUGACAAAUAGUGCCACGUCUUUCUUUCGGCAUCUUCAAAGAGUUGCCUUCCGGAAGGAGAAGAAGAAGGUAGUCAAUCAAUUUUGGAUUCCAAAUACAUGACACAUAUAUAAUAAUGAAGUGUGGUACU